GACGAACGCUGGCGGCGUGCUUAACACAUGCAAGUCGAACGGAAAGGCCCUGCUUUUGUGGGGUGCUCGAGUGGCGAACGGGUGAGUAACACGUGAGUAACCUGCCCUUGACUUUGGGAUAACUUCAGGAAACUGGGGCUAAUACCGGAUAGGAGCUCCUGCUGCAUGGUGGGGGUUGGAAAGUUUCGGCGGUUGGGGAUGGACUCGCGGCUUAUCAGCUUGUUGGUGGGGUAGUGGCUUACCAAGGCUUUGACGGGUAGCCGGCCUGAGAGGGUGACCGGCCACAUUGGGACUGAGAUACGGCCCAGACUCCUACGGGAGGCAGCAGUGGGGAAUAUUGCACAAUGGGCGGAAGCCCGAUGCAGCAACGCCGCGUGCGGGAUGACGGCCUUCGGGUUGUAAACCGCUUUCGCCUGUGACGAAGCGUGAGUGACUGUAAUGGGUAAAGAAGCACCGGCUAACUACGUG
rnacentral:rRNA from 1 species